UACAGAGGGUGCAAGCGUUGUUCGGAAUUAUUGGGCGUAAAGCGCGUGUAGGCGGCUUUGCAAGUCGGGUGUGAAAGCCCUCAGCUCAACUGAGGAAGUGCGCCCGAAACUGCAGAGCUUGAGGACCAGAGGGGUGCAUGGAAUUUCCGGUGGAGCGGUGAAAUGCGUUGAUAUCGGAAGGAACUCCGGCGGCGAAAGCGAUGCACUGGCUGGUUUCUGACGCUGAGGUGCGAAAGCCAGGGGAGCAAACGGG
rnacentral:rRNA from 1 species